CCAAACAGUAUGUCGAUGAAACAGGAGAUCUCCACAGUAGAGUCAAUAAUCUCUGUUCGACCAUUAGGACCAAAAAACUAAAUGAACCCGUCGGUGAACUUUUCAACCUUGAAGAUCACAAAUGGGAGGGCAUGACAGUAGUGGUGAUUGACCAUAAUCUAAGACGCAUGGACGCUCAGAGAAAAAGCAAGGAAAAGUUCUGGAUGCACAGAUUAAAGUCAUUCCGUCCUAAUGGUAUAAACAAACUAAAUGACUUCACCAGGAUGAACGUGAACUAGAUCCAAUUCUGUUGAAACUUUUAAAUUAAGUGAUUGUAACGCCAUCACUUAUCAGCGGCCAAGAAAGUAAGACAUGAAUCUAUCGGUGUUAUUUUGUGUUUCCAACAGAGCAUCAAGAGGACAUCUUUAUUGUGGCAAAAUUCAGGGAAUGAAUAGGUCCUGUCGAGGAAAUGGCAAAAUACCAGCCUUUAAUUAAAACUAUGCAGUAAGGAAAUCCGUCCUCAGCCAUGGAUUUUGCUGGAAAUGACUUGCAAAAUCAGUCUUCAACCGUUGAUCCUGAAUUGUUUAUCGAGAAGAACCAGACUCCUACAACAGUUUUCAAUGGGAGUAAUAUUAGAGAACCAGUGUUUAAUCAGAGAUACUUUAUUAUUGCAACUAUUGUAUGUGUUUUUGGAACUAUCGGAAACAUAGUUACCAUGACUUUGUUUAUAAUUCAAAAAAAGAUUAAAAUACCGACAUUUACUGGAAUUUUUUGCU